AGAGUUUGAUCCUGGCUCAGGACGAACGCUGGCGGCGUGCUUAACACAUGCAAGUCGAACGGAAAGGCCCUUCGGGGUACUCGAGUGGCGAACGGGUGAGUAACACGUGGGUGAUCUGCCCUGUACUUUGGGAUAAGCCUGGGAAACUGGGUCUAAUACCGAAUAUGACCAUGCGCCUCCUGGUGUGUGGUGGAAAGCUUUUGCGGUGUGGGAUGGGCCCGCGGCCUAUCAGCUUGUUGGUGGGGUAAUGGCCUACCAAGGCGACGACGGGUAGCCGGCCUGAGAGGGUGACCGGCCACACUGGGACUGAGAUACGGCCCAGACUCCUACGGGAGGCAGCAGUGGGGAAUAUUGCACAAUGGGCGCAAGCCUGAUGCAGCGACGCCGCGUGAGGGAUGACGGCCUUCGGGUUGUAAACCUCUUUCAGCACAGACGAAGCGCAAGUGACGGUAUGUGCAGAAGAAGGACCGGCCAACUACGUGCCAGCAGCCGCGGUAAUACGUAGGGUCCGAGCGUUGUCCGGAAUUACUGGGCGUAAAGAGCUCGUAGGUGGUUUGUCGCGUUGUUCGUGAAAACUCACAGCUUAACUGUGGGCGUGCGGGCGAUACGGGCAGACUUGAGUACUGCAGGGGAGACUGGAAUUCCUGGUGUAGCGGUGGAAUGCGCAGAUAUCAGGAGGAACACCGGUGGCGAAGGCGGGUCUCUGGGCAGUAACUGACGCUGAGGAGCGAAAGCGUGGGGAGCGAACAGGAUUAGAUACCCUGGUAGUCC
rnacentral:rRNA from 1 species